GAUGAACGCUGGCGGCGUGCUUAACACAUGCAAGUCGAACGGAAAGGCCCAAGCUUGCUUGGGUACUCGAGUGGCGAACGGGUGAGUAACACGUGGGUGAUCUGCCCUGCACUUCGGGAUAAGCCUGGGAAACUGGGUCUAAUACCGGAUAGGACCACAUUUUGGAUGGUGUGGUGGAAAGUUUUUCGGUGUGGGAUGAGCUCGCGGCCUAUCAGUUUGUUGGUGGGGUAAUGGCCUACCAAGGCGUCGACGGGUAGCCGGCCUGAGAGGGUGUACGGCCACAUUGGGACUGAGAUACGGCCCAGACUCCUACGGGAGGCAGCAGUGGGGAAUAUUGCACAAUGGGCGCAAGCCUGAUGCAGCGACGCCGCGUGGGGGAUGACGGCCUUCGGGUUGUAAACUCCUUUCGCUAGGGACGAAGCGCAAGUGACGGUACCUGGAGAAGAAGCACCGGCUAACUACGUG
rnacentral:rRNA from 1 species